AUGAAGAAAAGCAUCAAGACUGUGAGCUUGUUUAAGCUCCGAGAGGUGCCUUAUCAAACAUCAAAUCUGACCAAGACUCAAAAGCUUUGUUCAUCAUUCGUCUCUUCAACAAGAGGUGUGACAGAGCAGAGUGCACGGUCCCAGGCUGCGAGGGAAGGAGAGGCUGGGAGUGUGGGAAGCUGCAGUGCUGGGAGUCCUCAGGCAAAGCAGGAGGCCCAGGUUCAGUAAAUUGCACAACUUGGAAGGAGCGUACAGUCCUACAGAGGGGUAUUAUGUGCCUCGGGUUAUGCAAGUGCUUAAGUGUUUUGCUGGAUACAGGCCCUAAUCUCUCACUAUCGUCUCCUAUCUUUAAAAUGGUAAUAAUGAUACCUCCAUCAAGGCAGGAAGCAAUUGAUUUAGUCACAGUUACAGAAAAGAAGGGGUCUAUGACUACCCAAAAUAACAAAAUAGCAGGAGAAACAGGGAAGUAUGUGGAAUAAUAUCCUGCAAUACCAAUUUUUCUAAGAAGCAGUUCUGUUUUGGAGAGUGAUUAAGUUAAACUGCUACCUUCUUUUGCUCUAGCUGAUCAUGUGCAUUUGAAAAAGAAAACUACCUACUGAAAUCUGCAGUUAAGAAACGGGAGCAAAGUGUAUCUGUUCCUUGCACAUCAUGAAUAGAUGCCUUCACACCUGAGCAAAGCCUCUGAAAGCACAAGUGUCCUAUUUGGCCUGAAGAACCAGAACAGGCUGUCUGAAUAGCAGCCUGACUUUACAGGAGCAGGAGUUAGCAAAAUCAUCAUUUUAUGCAUCACUGCUUUUGCUGCAAACACUCUUUGUCAAACACAGCCAGGUACUUACUGUGCUCUCUUUGAGAGUGGUCCCUGGGGAAUACUGUUCUCAACAUAACUGGGACAAACAAAACCUGGAAUGACAUCAUGAUGGCAUUUCUAGAUUACAGUUGCACCUAGAAUUAAGAUAAAAUAAGACUAACAUGUGGAAGUGUGCUUACGAUUGUAAUACUAAUAUUUCAUAAGCCAUAAGCUGUUUAUUCAGACAAAAGAUGUAGUUGUAGUCUGGUAAACUAAGGGGGAAGUUCGUCAAAGGGUGCUGGCCAAGCCAGUCUAACCGUUAACUGCUGGUGGUGGAGGCAGUGCUUCUUCCUGCUGCCUCACUGCCCUGGGCUACCUCGCCUUCCUCGUGCUGGCUCAGGUACUUCAGUUCAGUUCCGCUCCCCGAACCUGUAAAAACAAACUCCAAUAAAAGCCAGAAAAGGGAUGUUUUUCA
rnacentral:lncRNA from 1 species